rnacentral:rRNA from 1 species
UACGGAGGGUGCAAACGUUGCUCGGAAUCAUUGGGCGUAAAGCGCACGUAGGCGGCGCGUUAAGUCGGAUGUGAAAGCCCCGGGCUCAACCCGGGAAGUGCAUACGAAACUGGCGCGCUUGAAUAUGGAAGAGGGUCGCGGAAUUCCCGGUGUAGAGGUGAAAUUCGUAGAUAUCGGGAGGAACACCAGUGGCGAAGGCGGCGACCUGGGCCAAUAUUGACGCUGAGGUGCGAAAGCGUGGGGAGCGAUCCGG